rnacentral:rRNA from 1 species
UACGUAGGGUGCAAGCGUUGUCCGGAAUUAUUGGGCGUAAAGAGCUCGUAGGCGGUCUGUCGCGUCGGCUGUGAAAUCCCGGGGCUCAACCCCGGGCCUGCAGUCGAUACGGGCAGACUAGAGUGCGGUAGGGGAGACUGGAAUUCCUGGUGUAGCGGUGGAAUGCGCAAAUAUCAGGAGGAACACCGGUGGCGAAGGCGGGUCUCUGGGCCGUUACUGACGCUGAGGAGCGAAAGCGUGGGGGAGCGAACAGGA